AACAUGUUAACCACAUUGGCUAUUAUGUAAUUCACAGUGUGUCACAAGUACUGUACUACAUACAGUAACACACAAAAUAUUUAAAUUCAUCCAUUGGAUGUACAAGAUAAUGUGAUGUUUCAAAACUUACUAUCUCAAACUUUCCGAGGAUUGAACAUUUCCUUUUACCUGGAAAGUAAAUUCUUCAUAAAUCUUUGACACUUUCAAACAGCAAUGCAUUCUAAUUAAUUAAAAUAGAGUAAACACUACUUCAAUAGAUGCAAAAAUGCACCAUUUUCUAUCCUCGUUGACAUGUCACCAUUUCAGUCGAACCACAACACCAGUGGGUUUGCAUAUCGUCGAUUGCAACUAUGCAAUAAAACGCUGAAAAUGAACAAAGAAACAAACUAUGUGGGUGCACUUCAAGCCAGUGGGUUACAGCGACAGUACAAGCUAACCACCGAAGUGGGUUUGUAGCACUGCACCAAAGAGCAGCUUUAGCAACGGCAGCAGCAGCAGCAUCAAAGCCAUAUCUCACAUAACUCUGAAAAGGUGAACAGUUCUAAGGACGC
rnacentral:lncRNA from 1 species